UUUACAGGCUCUAACUGUGAAACAUCAGUAUAACAAGGCCUUUUAACAUAAAGUGUGUUUUUAUGUAUCGCUCUUAGCAUGUUUAAGGGAUUUUCCAAAGGGCUAGGCACAUUGUACAUUUUUACAGUUCUUGGUACUAGCAACACAUUAGCUACAAAAUUUACCAUUAGCAAUAACAAUGUUAGGUGAGAAAAGCUAAGCAGGAGGGAGUUAUGCCAACCGAACCAAAGUCAGGCUAAGAGAGGCUGCUGGGAAAGUCUCUGAAAGUAGAAUGAAGGAAUAUUUGUUUAAGUUACAGAGAGUGAGAAAAAAGGGGAGGCCUGCAUUCCUGCAUUUUUGUACCAGAUGUGCUGGGAACAGCCCUUGAGAUACAGAGGCUCUGUUUUCCACUCCCUGCUCUUGUGUUAUGCCUGUUUUAACUCCUCGUCUCCUGGUUGACACCCGUACCGAUAAGAAAGUUAGUGAAGCACUACGAUUUGCUAAAAGUUAUCUACAACAAGGGGGGUAGAUGUGCAUGCAUAUAGAGAAAGAGGAUUUUAACUAAUAUGGGGGGGUGGGCUGCUUUAUGAAUAAAUCUGUGACGUGACAGGACUGUCUAUAAAACCCUACGAGUUUUACUUAGAGGCUGCUGGUUCUCUUUGGAGUGUGCACUCUUCAAUAAAGAGCGUUGCGUUCGGACCUUGCUGGUGUUGCCAGUCUCUCUCCGGUCAGACAACGAACCGUGCCAUCUGGGGUUCGAGUCCUCGACAAUUUGGCAACUCCACCGGGACCCGUCUGACUCUCCGGCGAGGGAUCAGACUCUAAAGCAAGGCAGCGCGCAUCCUCCGGCUUCAAGGAGCCUUGCCAGUGAUCUAAUCCCUGCGUCGGCGAUAAGGCGUGUUCUGUGAACCAGCAGGAGCCCAUAGAAAUCCAGCAACAUCCACCUACCCGUUGAGUUGGCUCCAGAUCCAGGUCUUCGGGGUUUGAGUCCCUGGAGAGGGUCUUCGGGGUUCGAGUCCCUGGAGAGAAAAUUAGAAAAUACUGAUGCCAAGUAAAAAGCAAUUCAACAUCUCAUGAAUUUACUGGCACAAUAGGAAUUCUGUUCUGUUUUCUAUGUCCUGUCUUGUGGUGUUUGUCUUGUGGCCAGAAUUGCUGUGUUUAAUUUUUCAUAGGACAGUUUAGUUUAAAACUAAAUAGAAGGGUUAAAUCAAAAUGCAGAUACUUGUUUUAUUCAACUUGGAAUACAAAGUGUUUGGAUAAUAUCAGGAAAAUGUGAUAUACUGAAGUUUAAUACAUUUGCUUAAGUAAGAAAAAGAAAUUUAGUUGUCCAGAUCUUUUAAUUAAAAAAAAACUGUUGUUAAAAUGCGCACACCAACAGUCUUUGGAAGCAAAGAAAUGAAAGGUUAACCCACUGCCCAUAUUAUACAUGGGAUCCUUCUGGCUACCUCAAAUUUCUAGCCAGAGGGCUGGGGUGGGAGGAAAGCUAUUGGACACCAGAGGUUGUACCAAGUGGACUCCUCAAAAGUGGGUGUGCUUGUCCUGGCUUGUUGCUCCAAAGCUCCGUAAUAAAGUCAUUUUCCUAGAAGGGUGUAUGUGGCAUACAUUAAACAAUAAAACUAAAGUGCUGUAUAAUGGGCAAUGUACAUGUGUUCAUUUUUGAACAAAGGGGUGUCAGUGGAAAGUGAAAGUUUCCUUUACAGGUUAAUAGAAGCCAAGAAGGGGAGAAGAAAAGGAACGGAGGACGAGCUAAUUCAACGCUGUAGCUGGCAGGCUCGGUCCAAAGAUAAGACGCUGGCCUGCCCAAGGACACUACUCACAGCUAGGAUUUGGCUAACAGCCAAGAAAGAGGGGGGCUUGAAUGUGCCCAAGCAGCUGUGAGAUCUGUAAAAUACUGCCAGACAUUAAUGAAAUGUGUUAGGUCUCUGUAUUUACAGGUGAAAGAAGUCCUGCUCCAAGGAUCCUGAGCAAACCUGCCAUUUGUUAAAACCAGGUGACUGGGUCUACAUAAAGGUCCAUCAACAAAAGACUACUCUGGCCCCAUGCUGGAAAGGUCCUUAUUAAGUCCUGCUAACUACCAACGCCGCUGUGAAGUGCCAGGGACUGACUGCCUAGACCCAUACUUCUUACUGCAAAAAGACCCCUCCACCUCAAGAUGACUUCACUUCAACUACUGAUCAGCCUGUCCCUCCUUCUG